rnacentral:rRNA from 1 species
UACGUAGGGUGCAAGCGUUAAUCGGAAUUACUGGGCGUAAAGCGUGCGCAGGCGGUUGUGCAAGACAGAUGUGAAAUCCCCGGGCUCAACCUGGGAACUGCAUUUGUGACUGCACGGCUGGAGUGCGGCAGAGGGGGAUGGAAUUCCGCGUGUAGCAGUGAAAUGCGUAGAUAUGCGGAGGAACACCCGUGGCGAAGGCGGCCCACUGGGCCGGUACUGACGCUGAGGCGCGAAGGCGUGGGGAGCGAACGGG